rnacentral:rRNA from 1 species
CCUACGGGUGGCUGCAGUGAGGAAUAUUGGUCAAUGGACGAGAGUCUGAACCAGCCAAGUAGCGUGAAGGAUGACUGCCCUAUGGGGUGUAAACUUCUUUUAUAAAGGGAUAAAGUGAGGCACGUGUGCCUUUUUGUAUGUACUUUAUGAAUAAGGAUCGGCUAACUCCGUGCCAGCAGCCGCGGUAAUACGGGGGAUCCGAGCGUUAUCCGGAUUUAUUGGGUUUAAAGGGUGCGUAGAUGGGUUGUUAAGUCAGGUGUGAAAGUUUGCGGCUCAACCGUAAAAUUGCAAUUGAUACUGGCAGUCUUGAGUACAGUUGAGGUAGGCGGAAUUCGUGGUGUAGCGGUGAAAUGCUUAGAUAUCACGAAGAACUCCGAUUGCGAAGGCAGCUUACUAAACUGCCACUGACAUUGAUGCUCGAAAGUGUGGGUAUCAAACAGGAUUAGAUACCCUGGUAGUC